AUUGAACGCUGGCUGCAGGCCUAACACAUGCAAGUCGAGCGAGCGGCGGACGCGUGAGUAAUAUAUGGGGACUGCCCGAUAGAUGGGGAUAACUACUGGAAACGGUGUCUAAUACCGCAUACUAUCGUAUAACCCAUAUGGGAUUAGCUAUUAGGUUGGGUAAAGGCUCACCUAGGCGACGAUCUCUAGCUGGUCUGAGAGGAUGAUAAGACACACUGGGACUGAGAAACGGCCCAGCCUCGAAUGGCGGCAGCAUGGGGGAAUAUUGGACAAUGGGAGCAAGCCUGAUGCAGCCAUGCCGCGUGUAUGAAGAAGGCCUUAGGGUUGUAAAGUACGUGCAGCGGGGAGGCGUGACCCGCAGAAGAAGCACCGGCUAACUCCGUGCCAGCAGCCGCGGUAAUUC
rnacentral:rRNA from 1 species